UACAGAGGGUGCGAGCGUUGUUCGGAAUUAUUGGGCGUAAAGGGCGCGUAGGCAGUGCGGUAAGUCACCUGUGAAAUCUCCUGGCUCAACUGGGAGCUUGCAGGCGAAACUGCCGUGCUGGAGUGUGGGAGAGGUGCGUGGAAUUCCUGGUGUAGCGGUGAAAUGCGUAGAUAUCAGGAGGAACACCUGUGGCGAAAGCGGCGCACUGGACCACAACUGACGCUGAGGCGCGAAAGCUAGGGGAGCAAACAGG
rnacentral:rRNA from 1 species